UUAAGCGACUAAGCGUACACGGUGGAUGCCCUGGCAGUCAGAGGCGAUGAAGGACGUGCUAAUCUGCGAUAAGCGUCGGUAAGGUGAUAUGAACCGUUAUAACCGGCGAUUUCCGAAUGGGGAAACCCAGUGUGUUUCGACACACUAUCAUUAACUGAAUCCAUAGGUUAAUGAGGCGAACCGGGGGAACUGAAACAUCUAAGUACCCCGAGGAAAAGAAAUCAACCGAGAUUCCCCCAGUAGCGGCGAGCGAACGGGGAGCAGCCCAGAGCCUGAAUCAGUGUGUGUGUUAGUGGAAGCGUCUGGAAAGGCGCGCGAUACAGGGUGACAGCCCCGUACACAAAAAUGCACAUGCUGUGAGCUCGAUGAGUAGGGCGGGACACGUGGUAUCCUGUCUGAAUAUGGGGGGACCAUCCUCCAAGGCUAAAUACUCCUGACUGACCGAUAGUGAACCAGUACCGUGAGGGAAAGGCGAAAAGAACCCCGGCGAGGGGAGUGAAAAAGAACCUGAAACCGUGUACGUACAAGCAGUGGGAGCACCCUUUUGGGUGUGACUGCGUACCUUUUGUAUAAUGGGUCAGCGACUUAUAUUCUGUAGCAAGGUUAACCGAAUAGGGGAGCCGAAGGGAAACCGAGUCUUAACUGGGCGUUAAGUUGCAGGGUAUAGACCCGAAACCCGGUGAUCUAGCCAUGGGCAGGUUGAAGGUUGGGUAACACUAACUGGAGGACCGAACCGACUAAUGUUGAAAAAUUAGCGGAUGACUUGUGGCUGGGGGUGAAAGGCCAAUCAAACCGGGAGAUAGCUGGUUCUCCCCGAAAGCUAUUUAGGUAGCGCCUCGUGAAUUCAUCUCCGGGGGUAGAGCACUGUUUCGGCAAGGGGGUCAUCCCGACUUACCAACCCGAUGCAAACUGCGAAUACCGGAGAAUGUUAUCACGGGAGACACACGGCGGGUGCUAACGUCCGUCGUGAAGAGGGAAACAACCCAGACCGCCAGCUAAGGUCCCAAAGUCAUGGUUAAGUGGGAAACGAUGUGGGAAGGCCCAGACAGCCAGGAUGUUGGCUUAGAAGCAGCCAUCAUUUAAAGAAAGCGUAAUAGCUCACUGGUCGAGUCGGCCUGCGCGGAAGAUGUAACGGGGCUAAACCAUGCACCGAAGCUGCGGCAGCGACGCUUAUGCGUUGUUGGGUAGGGGAGCGUUCUGUAAGCCUGUGAAGGUGUACUGUGAGGUAUGCUGGAGGUAUCAGAAGUGCGAAUGCUGACAUAAGUAACGAUAAAGCGGGUGAAAAGCCCGCUCGCCGGAAGACCAAGGGUUCCUGUCCAACGUUAAUCGGGGCAGGGUGAGUCGACCCCUAAGGCGAGGCCGAAAGGCGUAGUCGAUGGGAAACAGGUUAAUAUUCCUGUACUUGGUGUUACUGCGAAGGGGGGACGGAGAAGGCUAUGUUGGCCGGGCGACGGUUGUCCCGGUUUAAGCGUGUAGGCUGGUUUUCCAGGCAAAUCCGGAAAAUCAAGGCUGAGGCGUGAUGACGAGGCACUACGGUGCUGAAGCAACAAAUGCCCUGCUUCCAGGAAAAGCCUCUAAGCAUCAGGUAACAUCAAAUCGUACCCCAAACCGACACAGGUGGUCAGGUAGAGAAUACCAAGGCGCUUGAGAGAACUCGGGUGAAGGAACUAGGCAAAAUGGUGCCGUAACUUCGGGAGAAGGCACGCUGAUAUGUAGGUGAAGCGACUUGCUCGUGGAGCUGAAAUCAGUCGAAGAUACCAGCUGGCUGCAACUGUUUAUUAAAAACACAGCACUGUGCAAACACGAAAGUGGACGUAUACGGUGUGACGCCUGCCCGGUGCCGGAAGGUUAAUUGAUGGGGUUAGCGGCAACGCGAAGCUCUUGAUCGAAGCCCCGGUAAACGGCGGCCGUAACUAUAACGGUCCUAAGGUAGCGAAAUUCCUUGUCGGGUAAGUUCCGACCUGCACGAAUGGCGUAAUGAUGGCCAGGCUGUCUCCACCCGAGACUCAGUGAAAUUGAACUCGCUGUGAAGAUGCAGUGUACCCGCGGCAAGACGGAAAGACCCCGUGAACCUUUACUAUAGCUUGACACUGAACAUUGAGCCUUGAUGUGUAGGAUAGGUGGGAGGCUUUGAAGUGUGGACGCCAGUCUGCAUGGAGCCGACCUUGAAAUACCACCCUUUAAUGUUUGAUGUUCUAACGUUGGCCCCUUAUCGGGGUUGCGGACAGUGUCUGGUGGGUAGUUUGACUGGGGCGGUCUCCUCCUAAAGAGUAACGGAGGAGCACGAAGGUUGGCUAAUCCUGGUCGGACAUCAGGAGGUUAGUGCAAUGGCAUAAGCCAGCUUGACUGCGAGCGUGACGGCGCGAGCAGGUGCGAAAGCAGGUCAUAGUGAUCCGGUGGUUCUGAAUGGAAGGGCCAUCGCUCAACGGAUAAAAGGUACUCCGGGGAUAACAGGCUGAUACCGCCCAAGAGUUCAUAUCGACGGCGGUGUUUGGCACCUCGAUGUCGGCUCAUCACAUCCUGGGGCUGAAGUAGGUCCCAAGGGUAUGGCUGUUCGCCAUUUAAAGUGGUACGCGAGCUGGGUUUAGAACGUCGUGAGACAGUUCGGUCCCUAUCUGCCGUGGGCGCUGGAGAACUGAGGGGGGCUGCUCCUAGUACGAGAGGACCGGAGUGGACGCAUCACUGGUGUUCGGGUUGUCAUGCCAAUGGCACUGCCCGGUAGCUAAAUGCGGAAGAGAUAAGUGCUGAAAGCAUCUAAGCACGAAACUUGCCCCGAGAUGAGUUCUCCCUGACCCUUUAAGGGUCCUGAAGGAACGUUGAAGACGACGACGUUGAUAGGCCGGGUGUGUAAGCGCAGCGAUGCGUUGAGCUAACCGGUACUAAUGAACCGUGAGGCUUAACCUU
rnacentral:rRNA from 1 species